rnacentral:rRNA from 1 species
UACGAAGGGGGGCUAGCGUUGCUCGGAAUCACUGGGCGUAAAGGGUGCGUAGGCGGGUCUUUAAGUCAGGGGUGAAAUCCUGGAGCUCAACUCCAGAACUGCCUUUGAUACUGGCGAUCUCGAGUCCGGGAGAGGUGAGUGGAACUGCGAGUGUAGAGGUGAAAAUUCGUAGAUAUUCGCAAGAACACCAGUGGCGAAGGCGGCUCACUGGCCCGAUACUGACGCUGAGGCACGAAAGCGUGGGGAGCAAACAGG